GAAUGAUCCCAUGACCAGCACUCAGGAGUGCUGGGAGUUGAGUUACUUGCACUGUGGACGUGCUCUGUGAUGUCCUGUCUCCCAGAAAAGCUGCACAGUGCCAGUGUGCUGCACAGCAUUUGGGAGAUGUUGGGUCCUAUCUCCCACACAUGCAAAGGCAGCUCUCAGAAUCACACUAGCACAGAGCAUGGAAUAGAAUCGAAUCAUGGCAUGUUCCAUCCACCAACUCCUGCUAUUUAUUUUCAUCUGACAAGAAACAAAUCUGAGCCUGAAGGUUCCAGGAAGAUCCUGAGGCCAGGAUCCAGACUGAGAUCAGAACAUUCAGAAGUCACAGGUCAGGAUCUUGUUGUGAGCCAGGAUGUACAGAAGGAGACUCUCUACAUGGAUCCACCAGCUUUUCCAUUGGCCAAGGGAGCACCACAACCUACACCAGCCAGGGAAUGGAGCAGUCUCUGCCUCAAGGACCUAAUAAAGAAUGGGGGCACCUCAGAGGAGCUUGCUGGGCCUCACAUUGAGAUGGAAGUGAAAAUGACGAUAGCCACUGAGUUGAGUGCAGUGCAGAGCAGAUGAGAUUAUUUUAAACAGUCAUCCAGACAGUCGUGCCUCUAUACACCCAUUGGUGCCAAUAUACAACCAGUUUGCUUUUAUGUCCUAAGUCUUUAAAGGAGCAGAGAGAGUCUAUAUAGGCUCAAAGAAUCAUUGAGGUUGGAAAAGACCUCUAAGAUCACCAAGUCCAACUGUCAGCCCAUCCUCAUCAUGCCCACUGACCACAUCCACGUGGCUCUGGAACACCUCCAGGGAUGGUGACUCCACCACCUCCCUGGGCAGCCUGUGCCACUGCAACACCGCUCUUUUGGAGAUGAAAUGUUUCCUAAUAUCCAACCUUAACUUCCCCUGGUGCAACUUUAGGCCAUUAAGCAAAACCUUCCCUUAUUUUGGUUGAUAUUAGACUGAAAUCUGGUACCAGGAGCCCUGUGGUCAUUCAGAGACCCGCUGUCUUCAAGCAGCUUGCAAAGGGGGAACCUGCUGGGCUAGGUUAUCCAGCCUGCUAUAAAAGGCAACCUGUCAGUGCACUCAGGUGAUGGAGGCUUAGGACAGGUGUUGCAUGCCUGGAUUAGCUCUGCAACAAGGAUGCCUGUUUCUCUGUACUAUGAUGUUUCAUAUUCUAGAAGCUGGAGAGGCCACGGCUCAGUCAGCCAUGCACUCGUGCCCUUUCCGGAGACACACUGGAGCUGGGCUUGGGGCAGUUCUGGCAGUGUUGGUGGCUUGAGUUAAGUCCGCCUAUUUAUUAAGGUGACAUUUGCCCAAACGCCCUCCAGAGCUCUGCCACCACUGCCUGUACGGAUAGCCUCUUAGCAUUUCUGCAUUUUUACUGUCUAAAGAAGAUUUUUGUUUGAGAAUGUCCCUGGUUUGUUUCAAGUGCCAGGAAUGUGAAAGGAACUGCUGCUGGAAGACUCAGCCAAAGGUCACCAAAGCUGCUCCCUGUGCUGAGAGUUUCCUGUAAGGGAAAGAGAUGAUUGUGUAGGUGCAACACAGAGUCUGAGUCACACGAGGUGUGCAAGUGAUAGAAAGCAGCGCGACUCUCAUCGCUUCCCCUGGAGAUUAGCCCAAAGCCAGCCACAUCCCAGCUUCCAGACACUGUCAGGGCAUCAGAUUAAGUUCUGCUUUCAGACUCACGCUUAACAGUUCUCCCUCCUCUGAUGUCUGCAUCCUUAGAGUGUUUUUGGACUGCGGUUCUAUCCUCUGUUAAUCUUCCCAUCUCAAGUAUGUCCUACGUGUGAAGGUUUUACCACUUACAGAGGGACAGAUUAACAGCUGUUAUCCCUCUUCAACCAAAGGGACCUGUAUUUGAGGUAGGGAAUGCUCUUGUUUUAGUUUCUGACUUCAUAGAAGAGCUUAUCUGCUCUCUUGUAGGAAUGGCUUGAUGGUUGUUUCAUAUAUAAAGCUGCUUAAUUCCUUGAUUUGCUAAGGGAUCACAAAGAUCUUUGUGAGAUCCACGUGAGCAACAAAAGAGGCCAGAGAGGGAAAGGCAAAGGAAUUUCUCCAGGGAGCACUGAAGAGCAGCACUGCCAUCCCUGCUCUCAGCAGUAACAGAUUUUUGAACAGGUGUGACCUCAUCAGGACCUGAGGUCUUCUGUUCUUGAAAUAUCAGGGUCAUACCAUGAUCCCAGAGGUGUGGGUUCAGUCCUCACUCUAUGUAAGGCAAAAUGGGCAUCUCAAAAGCAGGUGUCUCCUCUACAUAUUUUUGUGGUGGAUUCUGGCAGGGUAUAGCUGAGAGAACAAAGAGAUGUGGUCCUCUGCAAGAAGGGGGUGAUCUCAGCUGAGUUCCAGGCAGAGGAGUCACAAGGCACUCCACAAUUCCCAAAACCUUUUUGGUAACAAAAGGAC
ensembl:lncRNA